UUUGAAAGUUAGCUCCAGUACAAUUAUGUGAUUUUCUUGAAUGGAAUAAGGCAAGUGAUAACUAGUAGCUGGGAUGAAACCUUGAAAUGCUGGGAUCCUAGAGGUGCAAGUGGACAGGAGCAUACUCUUGUUGGAACUUAUACACAACCAGAGCGUGUGUACUCUCUCUCCCUUGUUGGGAACCGGUUAGUUGUAGCAACUGCUGGAAGACAUGUGAAUGUCUAUGACCUGCGGAACAUGAAUCAACCUGAACAGCGGAGGGAAUCAUCCUUGAAGUAUCAAACUAGAUGUGUGCGGUGUUAUCCUAAUGGAACAGGCUAUGCUCUAAGUUCAGUUGAAGGUCGGGUUGCAAUGGAAUUUUUUGAUCUUUCUGAGUCCGGUCAAUCGAAGAAAUAUGCAUUUAAAUGUCAUCGGAAAUCUGAAGCUGGAAGAGAUAUCGUGUACCCUGUAAAUGCAAUUGCAUUUCACCCUAUCUAUGGUACUUUCGCCACUGGUGGUUGUGAUGGUUAUGUUAAUGUCUGGGAUGGUAACAACAAAAAAAGGCUGUAUCAGUACCCUAAGUAUCCUUCAAGCGUUGCCGCGUUGUCAUUUAGCAGAGAUGGUAAACUCUUGGCUGUAGCAUCAAGUUAUACAUUUGAAGAGGGAGAAAAGCCUCAUGAGCCGGAUGCCAUAUUUGUCCGCAGUGUAAAUGAAGUUGAAGUGAAGCCAAAGCCAAAAGUUUUGCCAAAUCCUACCUCAUAAAAACUAGAAAUCCUCCUCCAUCUUCUGUGUGUUGAACUUGUUAUCAUAUAUUGAAAACAAAAAAUAUUUUAUCUACUUCAUAUGCCAGUUUGAAUUCCAG
rnacentral:misc_RNA from 1 species